rnacentral:rRNA from 1 species
UACGUAGGGUGCAAGCGUUGUCCGGAAUUAUUGGGCGUAAAGAGCUCGUAGGCGGUUUGUCGCGUCUGCCGUGAAAGUCCGGGGGCUCAACUCCGGAUCUGCGGUGGGUACGGGCAGACUAGAGUGAUGUAGGGGGAGACUGGAAUUCCUGGUGUAGCGGUGAAAUGCGCAGAUAUCAGGAGGAACACCGAUGGCGAAGGCAGGUCUCUGGGCAUUAACUGACGCUGAGGAGCGAAAGCGUGGGGAGCGAACAGG